rnacentral:lncRNA from 1 species
AUAACAUCAAAGUGCACGAAUUUGAAGAUUUGAGCAAGUUGGAAAAACCGAAUUCUGUGAUUUUUGGGCAAAUGUCAAGACUUAUAUCUCUGUGAUUAUUUAUUGUUUUUGUUGUUUAAAAGUUGUUAGGUGUAUCUUGUUAUGUGGUAUUUAACCUCCAAAAGGAAUAAGGUCUAUAUCUAUUGUGGAUCAAAAGUUAUUUAAGGUCAAAGUGAGUUAACCGGCAUUGACCGGCUGUUCUUCAAACCCAGAAAAUAUUCUAAGUGUCCAGAA